CCCCUCUCAGGAUUGCACCUGGAGAGUUUCCAGUACUCUAUCAGUCUCGGCUAUGGAAGGGAGAGUCAAGCAGAGGCAUACCCAUUCCAUGCCUAACUUGUGCAGUGGCUAGCAAGUGGAAGGCAAUCUGCUACAAAU
rfam:Ornithorhynchus anatinus chromosome X1, whole genome shotgun sequence.